ACCUGUUGGAAGACAAAAACAGAGAUGAGUAAAACUUCACAUUAAUUAGGAUGAAUCCUAACCUACCCUGGUCUGGAUGCCGGCCAGCGCUGCUCUCUUCAGACCCUGAGCUCCAGGUCUGUUUGAAACCACCAACACCUUAGGCUCCUCCCCCUUUCAGGAAAUCAUUUCAGGAAGGAACCAAUAGUUUCAGGAGUCUGGGAGAUGUGACUGUAACCGACCUGAACACUGAGGCCCCAGAGCGCCCCCUGCAGGAUCUGCUGCACCAUCACCGUUUCCAGCAGCAAAUCAAUCAUCUGUUGGUCCAGACAGAAAAGUUGAAGCUGUCAGUGAAGCAGAUCAGAAGCUGAGCAGCAGAAACCCAGAAGAACUGGAAGCAUCAGCAGGAGAUGAACUGGACCUCUAGGAUCACUGAUGCUGCAGCUGAGGAAGAGGAGGACGAUGAAGGUGAAGCUGCCAUCCUCAGACUUCCUGUUUAUCAACCCAAGAAAGCAGAAAACCUGCAGAAAAUCAGCUGAAGAAGAACCACGAGGAGCUGGAGUCGUCCGGCGCCCUCUAGUGGCUGAUUGAACUACUGCACUGGGAGAACUGGACCUCGACGCUACUGCAGCUCAGCGGCUGGUUUCUCUCUGAAUGGACCAAUCAGAACCAAAGAGGAUUCAGCUCUGAGACAAUUAUUUACAACUACAUACAGUAGUUACACAUAUGUACAACAUGUUAGCGUUUCUAAACACUUAGAGUUUAGAAAACA